rnacentral:rRNA from 1 species
CAGUCGCCGCGGUAAUACGAAGGGGGCUAGCGUUGCUCGGAAUGACUGGGCGUAAAGGGCGCGUAGGCGGCGAUCAAAGUCAGGCGUGAAAUCCCUGGGCUCAACCUGGGGGCUGCGCUUGAUACUUGGUUGCUUGAGUGGGGAAGAGGGUCGUGGAAUUCCCAGUGUAGAGGUGAAAUUCGUAGAUAUUGGGAAGAACACCGGUGGCGAAGGCGGCGACCUGGUCCUUGACUGACGCUGAGGCGCGAAAGCGUGGGGAGCAAACAGGAUUAGAUACCCCUGUAGUCCCUGUCUCUUAUAC